rnacentral:rRNA from 1 species
GGGGAAUCUUCCGCAAUGGGCGAAAGCCUGACGGAGCAAUACCGCGUGAGGGAUGACGGCCUGUGGGUUGUAAACCUCUUUUCUCAAGGAAGAAGUUCUGACGGUACUUGAGGAAUAAGCAUCGGCUAACUCUGUGCCAGCAGCCGCGGUAAUACAGAGGAUGCAAGCGUUAUCCGGAAUCACUGGGCAUAAAGCGUCUGUAGGUGGUUUGGUAAGUCUGCUGUUAAAGACUGGGGCUCAACCCCAGAAAAGUAGUGGAAACUGCCAGACUUGAGUGUGGUAGAGGUAAAGGGAAUUCCUAGUGUAGCGGUGAAAUGCGUAGAUAUUAGGAAGAACACCAAUGGCGAAGGCACUUUACUGGGCCAUAACUGACACUGAGAGACGACAGCUAGGGGAGCAAAUGGGAUUAGAUACCCCAGUAGUC